CCUCAUAGAUUACUAGAUAUGUUGCCGUCUAGGAAAACUAGUAUUCCUAACGAAUUACUAGAUAUGAUUGAAAAUGAUGAAUUGAAAUUGAGUACGGGGAAACUUCCCUUUUGUUUUGGUGAGGAGUGACUAGAUUGGCUCGUCACUUGAAUUCCUCAUACUAUGUUAUUUCACCAUCCUCAUGGCAACACCAACUCUUCUUGGAACUCUCCUUUGGACCGGCCUGAGUCUUCCCUUCUCUCGUGGCUUCUUGCCAUCUCCAUCAGGUAAGACAUGCCUAGCUCCAUUUUGCUUUGGUGAGGAGUGGCUGCUCUCUUACCAUGAAAGCUCACCAACGCUCCCCCUCAAGCUUGAGACCGAGUAUAGGGAAGAUCCAAGCUUGAAGGUGAGCGCAUACUAAGAUCCAUGAUCACUCUUGUGGGAACACCUCCAUCUUCUUCAGACUUGAUGCUUACAGCUCCACUUAACCACCAUUGCACUGAGGAGAUACCUCAGCUCACUCUCCACGCAUUGCACUGAGGAGAUACCUCACCUCACUCUCCAAGCAUCUCACACCAGAAGCUUAUUGAGUAGCUUUCUUCUUCCCUCUACUUCGGCUGGAUCACUCCAUGAUCAGCUUGCAAUGGUCUUGAGUAGCUAUGAGCUGAUUCAAAGCUUCCCAACUGAAGGUAUCUGUUCUAACUCCAUAUAGUAGCUGAUCCAUAGCUUUCCAACCAGAAGGUAUUGUUCCAACUGAAGGUAACUGCUCUAACUCUAUAUAGUAGCUGAUCCAUAGCUUCCCAACCAGAAGGUAACUGUUCUAGCCCCACUUAAACCACCAUUGCCACAACAUCCUCUCUACCCUCUUUGGAGCAGGCUGUGGACUUCCCACAGAAUGUUGGCAACAUGCUUCAUCUUAUCAUUCCCUUGUAAUGAUAAGGAGGAAACAGGUCUUGAACUUUGGCUCUUCAGGUUGCUCAUUUGAAUCCCCACCGCAAGCUUGAGACCGAGUAUAGGGGAGAUCCAAGCUUGAAAUGAGCCUCUAUGAACUUCAAGACCAGGAGCACAUCACCCUAACAGCUGCGCUUAAAUCACUGAUCCACCCUUUUGCCUUCAGCUUCAAGUACCCUCAGAUCACCGGCCUUCCUCAUGGCUUAGGUGGUGACCUUCUUCUUCUUGUGUGUCUUGAACCAGGAGCUCAACAACCUCGUGGCCUGCGCUUCUUAAACCGGCUUCUACACACAAGAACCUUCCCAUUGCUCCACACAAUGGUUGGUCUUCCGCUUGUAUGUCUUGAACCAGGAGCUCAACAACCUCGUGGCCUGCGCUUCUUAAACCAGCUUCUACACACAAGUAUCUUCCCAUUGCUCCACACAAUGGUUCAAGUCUUCCUCUUGUCUUGGAUAGGUGGUGAGCAGAGAACACUUCUUGUGAACCUGAAACACCACUCAAACUCCAGCAAGGAUAAGACACAAGAGUAUUGGGAUCAAUCCUUGAUUAAUCAUCAGGUUUGAUUCCCAAUCUCACAAGCAAUGCAACAGAUAGACACAAGGCAUUAUCAAGUUCUAUUCUUUGCAAGCUAGCUCUCUAAGAACAAGCAAGAUCCUAACAGAUUCAAGACAAGUUACUUAGGCACUUUUAAAAGCUUCUUUACUCAGCACUUUAGACAUGAAUCUAAUGCUUCAAUGUAAGACAGCCACAAGACUAUAUGCAACAGCUUUAAAUUCAGUUUCAAUCCAUGUAUGCAAGCAGAUUCAGUUAAUCACUCUAAGCAUCACUAUGAAACGAAGCUAAGCAUAUUAAUCACAUUCAGUCACCAAACAAAGCUCUUAAAGUAUCCUGGGACAGAUUCUAAACAUUUUAAUUUAUCAAUCUUUAACAGUCCUCAGGUUUUCAAUCACAUCACACAAUACAACCAGUCAACAACACAAGCUCAUUAUCAAGAGGGUUUUAAAAUCGCUUACACAAGGAACCAGGUUGGUUCCUUAAACCUCCAAGGGGACUGGCCAUGGCUUUUGUUGAAUCUGAGAGUCUGGAUAGUCACCCACCUCCUACUCCUUCAGUUCAUGGCCACCUUCUUGUUUCUCCAACUCAAAGACUCCUCCUUUCUUCAAGUCUUCUAGGCGCCAUCAUCUUGACAGCUUUCAUGAUGAACCGGGUGAAGAAAGCUCUUGGAGGAGGCGCCUUGGAUGAGGUUCGUGAGUCCUCUCCAUACACUUCUGCUUCCAAUGAGUCUCUCCAUCAGGAUAGACAGGAGAAAGGAUAAGAGACACGCCCUUCAGUCUUCUUCUCAUGGAGAAACUGAACUCGGAUGGGAAUGUCUUCAAGGGUUGGAUUUGAGCUGAGGGUAGAGCUUGUGUUGUGCGGAAGCUACAGCUCAGGUUCUGAUGAACCUGGCUCUGAGAACAUAUGAUUUUUAAAGAGAUCUCUACUCUGGUAGUAUGUGUGUGUGUAUAAGCUUCAAUGAAGAAUGAUUAGAGCUUGUUCUAGGUGAUAUAUAGGAAAGGAUUAGUGAGAGUGUUUAUGAGUAUGUGAGACUUAAGAACAGAGAUUGAGAGACUUAAGAGACUAGAGAGAAACUGAGAGAAUAAGAGACUGAAGAUUAGAGAAGGAGAAGGGAAACCCCCUUACUCACUUAAUGUUUCCAAUUGUUUACAAGAAGCUUAAAUACAUAAAUGGAGGCUGAAUUCAUCAGAUAACCUAAGCAUGUGAAGUCAGCAUAAAGGGGAGCCCCAAUUUGAAUUCUAUGGACCAGAAUCAUCACAUGCUUGGCCAAUGGGAGUCUUUGGCGUGUCUGGCCUUUACAGGCUGUCAUGAGCUGUCUUGUGGACUGAAUACUUGGCUGUGAUUGGUCUGUGUGAGCUGGAGAGAAAGGCACCUUCCUGGUUGCUUCCUAAGGCAUCUUUGAAUAUGCCAAAUGGAUCUUUCUCCCUUGGAUAGUCUCACACGCCCUUCUCCUUGCCUUGUCUCCCAAGACAUGAUCAGACUUGGCUGUACGAAUGUCAGGACCGUAUACCUUGUGCCCUAAGAUUGCACAUUCCUCAAAUGUGCUCAAAUGGCCGAAAUGAUAAGUUUCGGGUCGAUCAUGUCCGUACGGUCUGUACCGUUCGUACGUCCGUCCGUACAGGUCGAUCCCUAACUUUGCACCAUCGACCAUAAUCUUCCAAACUCUUCCAAUGUCUUGUAAACACCAUCAAGACACUUCUUAGAUCUUGUCUCUUCUUUGCAUCAGCUUCUAAACACUUCCGAAGCUUAAUAGAACUCUUCUGGAGAUCUUCUGGAGCUUGCCCUAUUUAUAAACAAGCUCCAUCUUCUCUUCAGUUCAACACUCUCCCUCAAGCUUGACUUUAGGAGAUCCUAAGUCAAGCUUGGAACCCUGAAGAGUCUCCCUCAUUAAAAACCUUACAAGGAAAACCCAUUGGGACAAAACCUUGCAAGGGAAAAAGAGUAGAGAUCUCCAAGGCCUAGGGAUUGGCCAGUGAGCUCUUGUGCCUUAGAACCAGUGUGGUUGGACAUAAGAAGCUCUGGAUCACGGCCUAAACAGGUGCAGCAACACUUCAAGGCUUGCGCACACUUCACCACACUUUCUUGGACUCUUCUAUAGAACCGGCUUAGUGUCUCCCCCUUUCAUAUGACUUCAUGCCAUCUUGAAAGGCUAGGAACGACCUGAUCCUCUCCAUUGAGUCUCCAAGUAAGGUACCUGAUACAUCAUUCCACAAGUGUAUCAGUACUUAUCAAGUAACAUAACUCAAUCAAUUCAUGCUUAUAGACCGUCUUAGUAAGACUAGUAUUCCUCAUAGAUUACUAGAUAUGUUGCCGUCUAGGAAAACUAGUAUUCCUAACGAAUUACUAGAUAUGAUUGAAAAUGAUGAAUUGAAAUUGAGUACGGGGAAACUUCCCUUUUGUUUUGGUGAGGAGUGACUAGAUUGGCUCGUCACUUGAAUUCCUCAUACUAUGUUAUUUCACCAUCCUCAUGGCAACACCAACUCUUCUUGGAACUCUCCUUUGGACCGGCCUGAGUCUUGAACCAGGAGCUCAACAACCUCGUGGCCUGCGCUUCUUAAACCGGCUUCUACACACAAGAACCUUCCCAUUGCUCCACACAAUGGUCAAGUCUUCC
rnacentral:lncRNA from 1 species